AACCACUUUCCUGUGGAGCAUCAAAAUUCUUGUUUCUCUGUGUUAAGCAUACAUGAUGAAGAAUCACUAUGAUGCCCCACAACAUUUGCCUAUGUAGUAGAAAGACAUCUCGAGGUACAUGGAAGGAAAUCGUGAUCUAUCUGGCCCUAAGGGAAGAUGGAAAAACAGAUAAAUGGAAAUAAAAGCUGUGAGCAGUUUCUGCUCCAAACUGUAAACAUCAUUGCGGUAUUUUUUGGCAGAUGGAGUUGUUUAUUUUGUUGGUUUUUUGAACUGAAGUCAUAAUUAAGAGGGGUGCUUGGGGCAUUCAUAUUGUGCCACUAAAUGUGAAAUUCUUGGAAUGGUGCAAGACAGACCAGAGGGAAAACAUUUGCCAAGAAUAUUUUCAUUAAUCAAGAAAGAAAGUCGGAGGGUCGAAGAUGAUCAGAUACCAUCGUAGUUCUGACCACAAACAAUGCCAACUGGAGAUGCAGUUGUGUUAUUCCCUGACCCUCCUGGGAAGCUUCCUGGAAACCUAAGUGUUUGGGUUUGCAGGGAGUAUGGUUGCAAAGCUGAAACUUAAAGGAAUUGAUGGAAGGGCACCACUAGGAGAGGAGCCUGCAGCUUAAUUUGACUCAACACGGGAGACCUCACCUGGACCAGAAAGGGACAGGAUUGACAGAUUGAUAGCUCUUUCUUGAAUCCGUGGGUGGUGGUGCAUGGCUGUUCUUAUUUGGUGGAGUGAUAUGUCUGGUUAAUUCCAAUAAGGAAGGAGACUCUGGCAUGCUAACUAGUUAAGUGACCCUGGAGUGGUUAGCAUCCCCCAACUUCUUAGAGGGACAAGUGGCAUUCAGCCACCUGAGAUUGAGCAAUAACAGAUCUGUGAUGCCCUUAGGUGUCUGAGGCUGCAUGCACACUACACUGACUGGCUCAGCCUGUGCCUACUCUAUGCCAGCAGUAGCGAGUUACCCAUUGAACCCCAUUCAUGAUGGGGAUUGGGGAUUGCCAUUAUUCCCCAUGAAUGAGGAAUUCGCAGUAAGUGCAGGUCAUAAACUUGCAUUAAGUCCCUACCCUUUGUUCACACUGCCUGUCACUACUACCAAUUGGGUGGAUCGCUCGGCUCCUGCAUUGGUGAAGAAUGCAGCUAGCUGCGAGAAUUAAUGUGAAUUGGAGGACAUUGAUCCUCGACACUUGGAACUCCCUUGUGGCCCAGGGUCCCCCCAGGGGCUAUGCCUGUCUGAGCAUUGCUUGAAGAUCAAUC
rnacentral:ncRNA from 1 species